CGGUUUGAUACGCAGACCUAUCUAAAGCAUCUCAGUACAUCCCCUCAUUUUGAAGUGUCACGUUACCCUUUUCUUUUGAGUCCCGAUUGUAAGCUCUGAUUAAUCUGUAUUCGGACCCUGUAUGGCCCAAGGGCUCAAAUGAAUUAUUAGGUAAAAAAAGUAUGACUUCUAAAAUGACUGGUAUAGUUAAAUGGUUCAACCCUGAGAAAGGGUUUGGGUUUAUUUCCCCAAAAGAUGGCGGUAAGGAUGUCUUUGUACAUUUUUCCGCGAUUCAAAGUGACGAUUUCCGUACGUUAAACGAAAAUCAGGAAGUGGAAUUCUCAGUUGAAAAUGGUCCGAAAGGCCCGUCAGCUGUGAAUGUGGUAGUACGUUAAGGAGGAUUG
rnacentral:sRNA from 1 species